rnacentral:rRNA from 1 species
UACGGGGGGAGCAAGCGUUGUUCGGAUUUACUGGGCGUAAAGGGCGCGUAGGCGGUCAGCACAAGUCAGUUGUGAAAUCUCCGGGCUUAACCCGGAAAGGUCAACUGAUACUGUGCGACUAGAGUGCGGAAGGGGCAACUGGAAUUCUCGGUGUAGCGGUGAAAUGCGCAGAUAUCAGGAGGAACACCGGUGGCGAAGGCGGGUCUCUGGGCCGAUAUUGACGCUGAGGAGCGAAAGCGUGGGGAGCGAACAGG